AUGGCUAGUAAUUGGAGUUUCAGACAAUUUGGGGAGGUAAUUUGUAGCCAAUAUCCUUGGGGUUUGCUUGAUGAAGUGGUAUACAAAUACUAUGAUGGGGAAAAGAAAUGGGUGACAGUUAGUAAUGAUGAAGAGCUAGCUACCAUGUUUGUUAGGCAUAAAGAGAAAGAUAAUUUUCAUGUGAGGCUGCAAGUUGAUGUGCUUGAGCAGGCAUUUGGACCUAGGAUGACGGGUGCAACAUCUCGGGGAGAACCAAGUCGUUGUAAUGGCAUCUCUAGCCAGAACAGUUCAAUUGGUGCACGGCGACGUGGUGGCUUGACAAGUGUGGGCAACAGCAGUAGGGUCCCCCUUGAAGUGGAGCCUGAUGACUACAAUUUUGGGGUUGAUGAAGAGAAGCUAUAUUCUGAUGUUAUUCGGAAUUUAUGA
rnacentral:rRNA from 1 species